GUGGCAAAUGCAGCUUCCGAGGAAGGUAGUAGUAGUUGUACUGUUGUACUAACAAAGGACCAGCUUGGGGAAUCUGAAACAAUAUUGACAAGAUUUAAUAACAUUCAGAAAUGUUGCUACGGUCUUAAUUUAAAGAACACUUUGAUUUAUGGAGGUAAAUUAAUGUUUAUGAAUAUAUGAUAAUUUAUAUUUUUUAAAGAGUAUAUUCAAAAUGUCUUUGUAAUAAAUUUAAACACGUGUCAAUAUACGUUUGAUUUGGCAAAUGCAGUAGACGUUAAGAGUGUAGGUGGUUAAUACACACUGGAAACGCUGAAUAAUAUGGGGAAAUGAUUUAUUGUGUACAUUGUCUCAAUAUUUAUACAUGUAGAUAUUUUCAGCAAUUAGGAAAAAAUACAAUUCCUAUUUUGCAGUUUCUUGUAUUGUUAGCAGUUGUAAAUGAAAUCUAUGAUAUAUCAACAUGUGUUAGCGUGUGGACACCGCACCCAACUACAGGUUGGUCUAUACACAAUGACAGAUAUUGUGGUGAUUGUGGUAAUUCAGUUUGACCUCUUUGUGUCAAUAUUCAGAUCACAACUACAGGGCACUGACAGAUGGUAAGCAAAUAUAGUGCUACGGUGAUGAUAAAGGUUAAACAAUAUUCGUAUAAUUUUCUAUUGCGUUUAUGUUCCCUAUAAUAUUAAUAUAAGUGUUUUCAAUGAACAUGCGGUUUUUGCAUCCUUUUGGUAAUAUAUUAAAUAUUGUAUUUCAGUUUAAAAAAGCAAAUACAUUGCAGUGCGUUUGUCCUCAUAUACAUAUUAUGAUGAACCUUUGACUUAUUGUCUUGCCCUACAUAUCUUCAUUGCUUAACCACAUACAGCGUCUUCAUGUUCCCACAAUCGCCUAAAAGUGUCAUAUUUCAUAGGUUGUCGAAUUAUCCGUGCUAUUUUACGUGCGAUUCACACAGUUAACAAAUAAUGACUUCUCCUCGUUAUAGCGCAUGCGUACGACGCGCUGGAACAGCUGAGACACCUGAAAAUCGCGGAUAUUAUGAAGGAUUAUUUAUUUUCCUACCUCACAGACGAACGCUGAUAUGUUGCACUUUACACCUAUCAAAAAACCCAACGUAAAGCUGGUUUUAUGUCGCCUAAAUCAGCCACAACACGCUACAGGAAACCGUUAGACGCAUCUCCAAGGCAGCAGGGAUAGAAGGGGGAAAGACGCAUCUCCAAUGCAGCAGGGAUAGAAGGGGAAAAGACAAACCAUUCUCUGCGGGCCAGAGCAGCAGCUUGUCCACAUCAGGCAGAUGUCAACGAACAACUCGUAUGCAAAGAAACAGAUAAAACUUUUUUUCUGUUUACAGGGCCACUAUGUCCGUGUUUUACAAAGCUACUCUUGCACAGCGAUGACGUGCAGCCGCCUUGAGCCAUUCGUAUGCUUAGAUUUUAAGCUAGUCACAGAAGCGUGCAAUGUCAAGAGGGCGUGUGGCGCCCAGGAAGCUGACGUUCCUGCCCUAAUGACGGUUAAGAAAAAAUGGUGGAAACCAGUUUUGAAAACGCGUCCGGACGAGGCACUGACCAAGUUACCAGAUGAGGACAAGAAAACGGUCAGCACAUUUGGGCGAGAAUACAUUUCCGUAAUGAUCCACUUCAGUUAACCGAGUGGUGCAAAUAAACAGCUUGAUCACGUGUU